GUGAGGAAUUUUGCGCAAUGGCCGCAAGGCUGACGCAGCAACGCCGCGUGGGUGAUGAAGGCCUUCGGGUCGUUAAGCCCUGUCAGGUGGGAAGAAAGGCUUGGUGAAGCAACGCUUUGAGUUUGACGGUACCACCAGAGGAAGCACCGGCUAACUCCGUGCCAGCAGCCGCGGUAAUACGGAGGGUGCGAGCGUUAUUCGGAAUUACUGGGCGUAAAGCGCGUGUAGGCGGGGAUGCAAGUCUGAUGUGAAAGCCCUGGGCUUAACCGGGGAAGUGCAUUGGAAACAGCAUUUCUUGAGUACUGGAGAGGAAGGUGGAAUUCCCGGUGUAGAGGUGAAAGUCGUAGAGAUCGGGAGGAAUACCAGUGGCGUAGGCGCCCUUCUGGACGGUAACUGACGCUGAGACGCGAAAGCGUGGGGAGCAAACAGGAUUAGAUACCCUUGUAGUCC
rnacentral:rRNA from 1 species